rnacentral:rRNA from 1 species
GUGAGUGAUGAAGGUUUCGGAUCGUAAAGCUCUUCGGCUGGGAAGAACCGCCCGGUGGCUAAUAUCCAUCAGGUCUGACGGUACCAGCAGAAGAAGCACCGGCUAACUCUGUGCCAGCAGCCGCGGUAAUACAGAGGGUGCGAGCGUUGUUCGGAAUUAUUGGGCGUAAAGCGCGUGUAGGCGGGAUGGCAAGUCGGGUGUGAAAGCCCUCAGCUCAACUGAGGAAGUGCGCCCGAAACUACUGUUCUUGAGUGUCGGAGAGGGUGGCGGAAUUCCCGGUGUAGAGGUGAAAUUCGUAGAUAUCGGGAGGAACACCAGAGGCGAAGGCGGCCACCUGGACGAACACUGACGCUGAGACGCGAAAGCGUGGGGAGCAAACAGGAUUAGAUACCCUGGUAGUCCACGCCGUAAACGAUGAGUACUAGCUGUAGCGGGUAUUGACCCCUGCUGUGGCGAAGCCAACGCAUUAAGUACUCCGCCUGGGAAGUACGGCCGCAAGGCUA